rnacentral:rRNA from 1 species
GAUGAACGCUGGCGGCGUGCCUAAUACAUGCAAGUCGAGCGAACAGACGAGGAUCUUGCUCCUCUGACGUAAUCGGCGGGCGGGUGAGUAACAGGUGGAUAACCUACCUAUAAGACUGGGAUAACUUCGGGAAACCGGAGCUAAUACCGAGUAUAAUGUUGAACAGCAUGGAUCAACAGUAUAAUACGGUCUUUCUGUCACUUAUAGAUUGAUCUGCGCCGUAUUAGCUAGUUGGUAAGGUAACGGCUUAUCAAGGCAACGAUGAGUAGCCGACCUGAGCGGGUGAUCGCGCACACCGGAACGGAGGAACGGUCGAGACUCCUACGGGAGGCAGCAGUAGGGAAUCCUGCGGGAAGGGCGAAAGCGUGACGUAGCAACGCCGCGUGAAUCAAGAAGGUCGUCGGAUCGUAAAACUCUGUUAUUCGGGAAGUACAAAUGUGUAAGUAACUAUGAACAUAUUGACGGUACCUAAUCAGAAAGCCACGGCUAACUACGUG